AACGAACGCUGGCGGCAUGCCUAACACAUGCAAGUCGAACGAAGGCUUCGGCCUUAGUGGCGCACGGGUGCGUAACGCGUGGGAAUCUGCCCUUGGGUUCGGAAUAACUCAGAGAAAUUUGAGCUAAUACCGGAUGAUGACGUAAGUCCAAAGAUUUAUCGCCCAAGGAUGAGCCCGCGUAAGAUUAGCUAGUUGGUGGGGUAAAGGCCUACCAAGGCGACGAUCUUUAGCUGGUCUGAGAGGAUGAUCAGCCACACUGGGACUGAGACACGGCCCAGACUCCUACGGGAGGCAGCAGUGGGGGAAUAUUGGACAAUGGACGAAAGUACUGACCCACGCCACUGCCGCGUGCAGGAUGACUGCCCUAUGGGUU
rnacentral:rRNA from 1 species